AGCUUUGCACAGUGGCAGUAUCAUAGCCAAUGAGGUUUAUCCGAGGCGCGAUUAUUGCUAAUUGAAAAUGCAAAGAAAUAAAAUUGCUAACACAAGCAGAACAUCAAAGUUGAAAGACUUACAUUACAUUAUUAAUAAU